rnacentral:rRNA from 1 species
CCUACGGGGUGCAGCAGUGAGGAAUAUUGGUCAAUGGACGAGAGUCUGAACCAGCCAAGUAGCGUGAAGGAUGACUGCCCUAUGGGUUGUAAACUUCUUUUAUAUGGGAAUAAAACGUUCCACGUGUGGGAUUUUGUAUGUACCAUAUGAAUAAGGAUCGGCUAACUCCGUGCCAGCAGCCGCGGUAAUACGGAGGAUCCGAGCGUUAUCCGGAUUUAUUGGGUUUAAAGGGAGCGUAGGUGGAUUGUUAAGUCAGUUGUGAAAGUUUGCGGAUCAACCGUAAAAUUGCAGUUGAAACUGGCAGUCUGGAGUACAGUAGAGGUGGGCGGAAUUCGGGGUGUGGGGGGGAAAUGCUUAGAUAUCACGAAGAACGCCGAGUGCGAAGGCAGUUCACUGGACUGCAACUGACACUGAGGCUCGAAAGUGUGGGUAUAAAAAAGGAGUAGAAACCCGAGUAGUC